rnacentral:rRNA from 1 species
GAAUGAUGGUGACCUAAACCCUCACCAGAGUAACAAUUGGAGGGCAAGUCUGGUGCCAGCAGCCGCGGUAAUUCCAGCUCCAAUAGCGUAUAUUAAACUUGUUGCAGUUAAAAAGCUCGUAGUUGAAUUUCUGCGUUAUCGAGUUAUUGACUCUUGUCUUUAAUCGAUUUCGCUUUUGGGAUUUAUCCCUUUUUACUUUGAGAAAAUUAGAGUGUUUCAAGCAGACUUUUGUCUUGAAUACUUCAGCAUGGAAUAAUAGAGUAGGACUUUGGUUCUAUUUUGUUGGUUUUUGAACCUUAGUAAUGGUUAAUAGGAACGGUUGGGGGCAUUCGUAUUUAACUGUCAGAGGUGAAAUUCUUAGAUUUGUUAAAGACGAACUACUGCGAAAGCAUUUGCCAAGGACGUUUCCAUUAAUCAAGAACGAAAGUUAGGGGAUCGAAGACGAUCAGAUACCGUCGUAGUCCUAACCAUAAACUAUGCCGACUAGGGAUUGGAGGUCGUCAUUUUUCCGACUCCUUCAGCACCUUGAGAGAAAUCAA